rnacentral:rRNA from 1 species
GAUGAACGCUGGCGGCGUGCCUAAUACAUGCAAGUCGAGCGAACAGACGAGGAGCUUGCUCCUCUGACGUUAGCGGCGGACGGGUGAGUAAUACGUGGAUAACCUACCUAUAAGACUGGGAUAACUUCGGGAAACCGGAGCUAAUACCGGAUAAUAUAUUGAACCGCAUGGUUCAAUAGUGAAAGACGGUUUUGCUGUCACUUAUAGAUGGAUCCGCGCCGCAUUAGCUAGUUGGUAAGGUAACGGCUUACCAAGGCAACGAUGCGUAGCCGACCUGAGAGGGUGAUCGGCCACACUGGAACUGAGACACGGUCCAGACUCCUACGGGAGGCAGCAGUAGGGAAUCUUCCGCAAUGGGCGAAAGCCUGACGGAGCAACGCCGCGUGAGUGAUGAAGGUCUUCGGAUCGUAAAACUCUGUUAUUAGGGAAGAACAAAUGUGUAAGUAACUAUGCACGUCUUGACGGUACCUACUCAGAAAGCCACGGCUAACUACGUG